rnacentral:rRNA from 1 species
UACGUAGGCAGCAAGCGUUGUUCGGAAUUACUGGGCGUAAAGAGUGUGUAGGCGGUGCUCUAAGUUCGUUGUGAAAUCUCCCGGCUUAACUGGGAGGGUGCGGCGGAAACUGGAGUGCUUGAGCGCGGGAGAGGAAAGCGGAAUUCCUGGUGUAGCGGUGAAAUGCGUAGAUAUCAGGAGGAACACCUGUGGUGUAGACAGCUUUCUGGACCGUAGCUGACGCUGAGACACGAAAGCGUGGGUAGCAAACAGG